GGUGGCUCAGUGUUAGAGUGCUUGCCUUGAUUGCAGGAGGCCCUGAGUUCGAUUCCUCAGUACCA
rnacentral:tRNA from 1 species